rnacentral:miRNA from 1 species
UUGUCCUUCUGUGUCUUCUGCAG